AGAGUUUGAUCCUGGCUCAGGAUGAACGCUGGCGGCGUGCCUAACACAUGCAAGUCGAGCGGAAGCGUUACGAAGGAAGUUUUCGGAUGGAAUUGGUAACGGUUUAGCGGCGGACGGGUGAGUAACACGUGGGCAACCUGCCUUAUACUGGGGGAUAACAGUUAGAAAUGACUGCUAAUACCGCAUAAGCGCCCAUCCCCGCAUGGGGAAGAGCGAAAAACUCCGGUGGUAUAAGAUGGGCCCGCGCCUGAUUAGGUAGUUGGUGGGGUAACGGCCUACCAAGCCGACGAUCAGUAGCCGACCUGAGAGGGUGGCCGGCCACAUUGGGACUGAGACACGGCCCAAACUCCUACGGGAGGCAGCAGUGGGGAAUAUUGCACAAUGGGGGAAACCCUGAUGCAGCGACGCCGCGUGAGUGAAGAAGUAUUUCGGUAUGUAAAGCUCUAUCAGCAGGGAAGAAAAAAGACGGUACCUGACUAAGAAGCCCCGGCUAACUACGUG
rnacentral:rRNA from 1 species